AACGUAGGAGACAAACGUUAUCCGGAGUUACUGGGCGUAAAGGGCGUGUAGGUGGUAGAGUAAGUCUGGCGUGAAAUUUUUCGGCUUAACCGGGAAAGGUCGUCGGAUACUGCUUAACUAGAGGACGGUAGAGGCGUGUGGAAUUCCGGGUGUAGUGGUGAAAUGCGUAGAGAUCCGGAGGAACACCAGUGGCGAAGGCGACACGCUGGGCCGUACCUGACACUGAUGCGCGACAGCAGUGGGGAGCAAACGAGG
rnacentral:rRNA from 1 species